CCACCAGACUCCUACGGGAGGCAGCAGUGGGGAAUAUUGCACAAUGGGGGGAACCCUGAUGCAGCGACGCCGCGUGGGUGAAGGAGCACCUCGGUGCGUAAAGCCCUAUCGGCAGGGAAGAAACAGACGGUACCUGACUAAGAAGCCCCGGCUAACUACGUGCCAGCAGCCGCGGUAAUACGUAGGGGGCAAGCGUUAUCCGGAUUCACUGGGUGUAAAGGGAGCGUAGACGGCCAUGCAAGCCUGGAGUGAAAGCCCGGGGCCCAACCCCGGGACUGCUCUGGGAACUGUGCGGCUGGAGUGCGGGAGGGGCAGGCGGAAUUCCUGGUGUAGCGGUGAAAUGCGUAGAUAUCAGGAGGAACACCGGCGGCGAAGGCGGCCUGCUGGACCGCGACUGACGUUGAGGCUCGAAAGCGUGGGGAGCAAACAGGAUUAGAUACCCGCGUAAA
rnacentral:rRNA from 1 species